ensembl:lncRNA
AGAAGCUGUCUGUGACGCAGACGUCUCUGGCAGAUGUGAGAACAUAAAUGUCUGACUUCACUUCAGCCUGACAUUAAAUGGUCUGUACCCUUUCUACCAUGGUAACCGAGACAUCUGAUAUCGCGAGCACGGGGCAUCGUGAUGCCUUAUCUCUUAGGUAAGAGGUGGACUCUUGCUGGAGAGAGGAACGAAUUGGAUGAUUUAUUUUAGGGCACGACUGACUGCUUUGUCUCUGUGGCAGAGCUUCAGGUCUAACAAAAGCGUGCACCUCUGCAGAAGCCAUGGCUGAUAUCUUACUUAAAGUGCAUGAAUCGUUUGUGCUGCAGCAACCCAGUACAGUGUUAUACUACUGCUGUGUUCAAAGGAAAAAGGGGAACGCAGGGAAAUCAGGCUUUAAAAUGCAAACUUGAACAACAACACUGAAGAGCAUCUGUGGUUGUCUCACUGCUGCCUAACCCUUGAUUUCAUGAUCAACUGACUCAGACUGUUUCCAAUCAAAACUGACUUAAUUUUACAAAAUGCAUUUUAAUUUGCAGAAUCCAAAAUGCAGUAUUUUCAAAAAUACUGACACGGUGUGAGAAAAUCCAAGACAAAAAAAGAAAAUAUAAAAAUAUAAAAUAUAAUGCAAGCUCAAAUCCAAAGCAGAGCAACGACCUCCUGUAUUCCCUUCAAACUGGGUCGUUCCUUCAACUCUUCUGUGGACGUUUCUUUAACCUCCUAGGACCUGCCGUCCACAUACGUGGACGUCACAUUUUGGGUUAUUUAGACCAAAAUACUCAAUUCUGCUCUACAAGGGCCUGAUAUCCACUUACGAGGACGUUAUACUGCUACUGUUCUAUCAACAUUUUAAAUGAAUAUCCUCAUGUGGCUGUUUUUAAUAUUCAUUGGGCCCCAAUACGACCAAAAAUAAAAACGAAAUUAAAAAUGCUGCCGUGGAAGAGUUCGGAUUUUAGGAGGUUAAUCUGGCAUCAGGUGAGAUGUGUUUCACAGGUAUAAAAACCUCCUGUAUUCUCUUCCUGUGCUAAUGUCUCACUGAUGCAGAAGGGUUU